rnacentral:rRNA from 2 species
UUAAGUUAACAAGGGCGCAUGGUGAAUGCCUUGGCACUAGGAGCCGAUGAAGGACGGGACUAACACCGAUAUGCUUCGGGGAGCUGUACGUAAGCUAUGAUCCGGAGAUUUCCGAAUGGGGCAACCCAGCAGUUUUAAUCAACUGUUACCACUAGAUGAAUUCAUAGUCUAGUUGGAGGUAAACGCUGUGAACUGAAACAUCUCAUUAGCAGCAGGAAUAUAAAGAAAUUUCGAUUCCCUAAGUAGCGGCGAGCGAACGGGGAACAGCCCAAACCAAAGUGCUUGCACUUUGGGGUUGUAGGACUGAACAUUUGAGUUACCAAAGAACUUGAUAGUCGAAGGAUUUGGGAAAAUCCGCCAUAGAUGGUGAUAGCCCAGUAGAUUAAAUCAAAUUCUCUCAGUUCAGGAUCCUGAGUACGGCGGAACACGUGAAAUUCCGUCGGAAUCCGGGAGGACCAUCUCCCAAGGCUAAAUACUACCUAGUGACCGAUAGUGAACCAGUACCGUGAGGGAAAGGUGAAAAGCACCCCGGGAGGGGAGUGAAAUAGUUCCUGAAACCAUGUGCCUACAAUAAGUCAGAGCGCGUUAAUGCGUGAUGGCGUGCCUUUUGUAGAAUGAACCGGCGAGUUAUGAUCCCGUGCAAGGUUAAGACUAAAAAGUCGGAGCCGUAGCGAAAGCGAGUCUGAAAUGGGCGAUUUGAGUACGAGGUUAUAGACCCGAAACCAGGUGACCUAUCCAUGUCCAGGUUGAAGGUGCGGUAAAACGCACUGGAGGACCGAACCCGUGUAAGUUGAAAAUUGCUGGGAUGAGGUGUGGAUAGCGGUGAAAUUCCAAACGAACUUGGAGAUAGCUGGUUCUCUCCGAAAUAGCUUUAGGGCUAGCCUCGGAUUAAGGAUCAUGGAGGUAGAGCACUAUUUGGACUAGGGGCCCGUCUUGGGUUACUGAAUUCAGAUAAACUCCGAAUGCCAUUGAUUCAUGUCCGGGAGUCAGACGAUGAGUGAUAAGAUCCACCGUCGAAAGGGGAACAGCCCAGACCAUCAGUUAAGGUCCCUAAAUGUAUGCUAAGUGGAAAAGGAUGUGGAGUUGCAUAGACAACUAGGAUGUUGGCUCAGAAGCAGCCACCAUUUAAAGAGUGCGUAAUAGCUCACUAGUCGAGUGAUCCUGCGCCGAAAAUGUACCGGGGCUAAGCAUACUACCGAAACCAUGGAUGCGACCAUUAGGUCGCGUGAUAGGAGAGCGUUCUAAGGGCGGUGAAGCAAGAUCGUGAGGACUUGUGGAGCGCUUAGAAGUGAGAAUGCCGGUAUGAGUAGCGAAAGAUAGGUGAGAAUCCUAUCCACCGAAUGACUAAGGUUUCCUGGGGAAGGCUCGUCCUCCCAGGGUUAGUCGGGACCUAAGUCGAGGCCGAGAGGCGUAGACGAUGGAUAACAGGUUGAGAUUCCUGUACUAGUUAAGUGCGUUUGAGCAAUGGAGGGACGCAGGAGGCUAAGAUGUGCAUUCUGUUGGAUUAGAAUGUCCAAGCAGUAAGUCUUGUGGAGAGUCAAAUGCUUUUCACUUUAAGGACAAGCUGUGAUGGGGAGCGAAAUUUAGUAGCGAAGCGUCUGAUGUCACACUGCCGAGAAAAGCUUCUAGUGAGUACUUAACUACCCGUACCGCAAACCGACACAGGUAGUCGAGGAGAGAAUCCUAAGGUGAGCGAGUGAACUCUCGUUAAGGAACUCGGCAAAAUGACCCCGUAACUUCGGGAGAAGGGGUGCUGAUCGCAAGAUCAGCCGCAGUGAAUAGGCCCAGGCGACUGUUUAUCAAAAACACAGGUCUCUGCAAAAUCGUAAGAUGACGUAUAGGGGCUGACGCCUGCCCGGUGCUGGAAGGUUAAAAGGAUGGGUUAGCUUCGGCGAAGCUCAGAAUUGAAGCCCCAGUAAACGGCGGCCGUAACUAUAACGGUCCUAAGGUAGCGAAAUUCCUUGUCGGGUAAGUUCCGACCCGCACGAAAGGCGUAACGAUCUGGGCACUGUCUCAACGAGAGACUCGGUGAAAUUAUAUUGUCCGUGAAGAUGCGGACUACCCGCGACAGGACGGAAAGACCCCAUGGAGCUUUACUGUAGCUUGAUAUUGAGUGUUUGUACAGCUUGUACAGGAUAGGUAGGAGCCAUAGAAACCGGAACGCUAGUUUCGGUGGAGGCGUUGGUGGGAUACUACCCUCGCUGUAUGACCACUCUAACCCGCACCACUAAUCGUGGUGGGAGACAGUGUCAGGUGGGCAGUUUGACUGGGGCGGUCGCCUCCUAAAAAGUAACGGAGGCGCCCAAAGGUUCCCUCAGAAUGGUUGGAAAUCAUUCGCAGAGUGUAAAGGCACAAGGGAGCUUGACUGCGAGACAGACAGGUCGAGCAGGGACGAAAGUCGGGCUUAGUGAUCCGGUGGUACCGUAUGGAAGGGCCAUCGCUCAACGGAUAAAAGCUACCCUGGGGAUAACAGGCUUAUCUCCCCCAAGAGUCCACAUCGACGGGGAGGUUUGGCACCUCGAUGUCGGCUCAUCGCAUCCUGGGGCUGUAGUCGGUCCCAAGGGUUGGGCUGUUCGCCCAUUAAAGCGGUACGCGAGCUGGGUUCAGAACGUCGUGAGACAGUUCGGUCCCUAUCCGUCGCGGGCGUAGGAAAUUUGAGAGGACCUGUCCUUAGUACGAGAGGACCGGGAUGGACAUACCUCUGGUGUACCAGUUGUGCCGCCAGGCGCAUCGCUGGGUAGCUACGUAUGGAUGUGAUAAACGCUGAAAGCAUCUAAGUGUGAAACACACCUCGAGAUGAGAUUUCCCAUUCCUUUAUGGAAGUAAGACCCCUGAAAGAUGAUCAGGUAGAUAGGUUAGAAGUGGCAGUGCGGUGACGCAUGAAGCGGACUAAUACUAAUCGGUCGAGGACUUAACCAAG